rnacentral:rRNA from 1 species
ACGCUGGCGGCACGCCUAACACAUGCAAGUCGAACGAAGUAGCAAUACUUAGUGGCAGACGGGUGAGUAACAUGUGGGUAUCUUCCCUUUGGCCUGGAAUAACACGAGGAAACUUGUGCUAAUACCGGAUAAGUCUUUACGGAGAAAGCUUUAUGCACCAUUGGAUGAGCCUGCACUUGAUUAGUUUGUUGGUGGGGUAAUGGCCUACCAAGACUGUGAUCAAUAGCUGAUUUGAGAGGAUGAUCAGCCACAUUGGGACUGAGACACGGCCCAAACUCCUACGGGAGGCAGCAGUGGGGAAUCUUGCACAAUGGAGGAAACUCUGAUGCAGCGAUGCCGCGUGAGUGAAGAAGGCCUUUGGGUUGUAAAGCUCUUUCGUCGGGGAAGAAAAUGACUGUACCCGAAUAAGAAGGUCCGGCUAACUUCGUGCCAGCAGCCGCGGUAAUACGAAGGGACCUAGCGUAGUUCGGAAUUACUGGGCUUAAAGAGUUCGUAGGUGGUUGAAAAAGUUGGUGGUGAAAUCCCAGAGCUUAACUCUGGAACUGCCAUCAAAACUUUUCAGCUAGAGUUUGAUAGAGGAAAGCAGAAUUUCUAGUGUAGAGGUGAAAUUCGUAGAUAUUAGAAAGAAUACCAAUUGCGAAGGCAGCUUUCUGGAUCAUUACUGACACUGAGGAACGAAAGCAUGGGUAGCGAAGAGGAUUAGAUACCCUCGUAGUCCAUGCCGUAAACGAUGUGUGUUAGACGUUGGAAAUUUAUUUUCAGUGUCGCAGCGAAAGCGAUAAACACACCGCCUGGGGAGUACGACCGCA